GAACUUAAGAGUUUGAUCCUGGCUCAGAUUGAACGCUGGCGGUAUGCUUUACACAUGCAAGUCGAACGGGCUUGGGGGCUUGCUCCCGAGUUAGUGGCGAACGGGUGAGUAAUAUAUCGGAACAUAUCCGGAAGUGGGGGAUAACGUAGCGAAAGUUACGCUAAUACCGCAUAUGCCCUGAGGGGGAAAGGGGGGGAUUCGUAAGA
rnacentral:rRNA from 1 species